rnacentral:tRNA from 1 species
CCAGCGGUGAUUCAGUGAUAGAAUCCUUACCUUCCAUGCAGGAGACCUGGGUUCAAUUCCUGGCCGAUACA